rnacentral:rRNA from 1 species
UACGUAGGGUCCGAGCGUUGUCCGGAAUUACUGGGCGUAAAGAGCUCGUAGGUGGUUUGUCGCGUUGUUCGUGAAAACUCACAGCUCAACUGUGGGCGUGCGGGCGAUACGGGCAGACUAGAGUACUGCAGGGGAGACUGGAAUUCCUGGUGUAGCGGUGGAAUGCGCAGAUAUCAGGAGGAACACCGGUGGCGAAGGCGGGUCUCUGGGCCAAGACUGACGCUGAGGCGCGACAGCGUGGGGAGCAAACAGG